rfam:Triticum aestivum genome assembly, contig: Triticum_aestivum_CS42_TGACv1_scaffold_226520_3B
CUAGUACUCCCUCCGUCCGGAAAUACUUGUCAUCAAAAUGAAUAGAAGGGGAUGUAUCUAGAUGUAUAUUACUAGUUCUAGAUACAUCCCUUUUUAUCCAUUUUGAUGACAAGUAUUUUCGGACGGAGGGAGUAGUUU